rnacentral:lncRNA from 1 species
UCUCUUCUGAAAAUAUGGCUCGAAGAAAGCUCUACUCCAGGAGAUCCUCCACUGGAUUCCCAGUGUCUAUUCAGAAGUACCAUGCUGUAGAACUACCCCUCAAGAUCCCAGGUGGCACCUCUGUUCCAGGACCCCUUGGGGGCGACCAGUAAACCCAGUCACCAGUGAACCACCCACCCGAUGACUCCGUAGGGAUAGUACCUUUAUCCUCACCCACGCGCAGGAAGAGAUGCAGACCCUCCCUGGAGCCCCAGAGAUCCUCAGACGUG